AAAAAAUUAUAAUUUUGAAACAUGUUUAAAAAUUUUUUCUAAUGAAAUAUUAAUAACGGAAAAAUGCGAAGAAAUUAUUGAAAUAUUUACUCAAUUUUCUGAAGAUGGCUACAUUGAUGCUAAUAUAGUACAAGAUUUGAUUGAAUCAUACACAAGCGUAAAAUCAAAUAGUUAUUUAGAAAAAAUAAUUAAAAGAGCUUAUCAGAACAAUAAUGGUAAACUCAAUUUUAGCGACUUUGAGACAUUGAUGCACUCAUUGUAAAUUCAAAAUAAAAUUUGCUUAGUGAAUAUUUUAUUAAGAAUUGGAUGAAAUGUUGAAAUAUAAUAUUAUUUAUUUGUUAACCUUUUAAAAUAAAUAAAUAAAAAAUUAUUAAUAAACGA